rnacentral:rRNA from 1 species
CCCUUAGAUGUUCUGGGCCGCACGCGCGCUACACUGAUUCAUGCAACAAGUUUUGUCCUUGGCUGAUAGGUCUGGGUAAUCUUUGAACGCUGUUCGUGAUUGGGAUAGACCUUUGCAAUUAUGGGUCUUCAACGAGGAAUUCCUAGUAAACGCAAGUCAUCAGCUUGCAUUGAUUACGUCCCUGCCCUUUGUACACACCGCCCGUCGCACCUACCGAUUGAAUGGUCCGGUGAAAUCUCGGGACGGCGGCUUGGUCGCUUGCGUCCGACUGCUGAAACUUGAUUAAACCAUAUCAUUUAGAGGAAGGUGAAGUCGUAACA